rnacentral:tRNA from 1 species
GCCCGUCUAGCUCAGUCGGUAGAGCGCAAGACUCUUCAUCUUGUGGUCGUGGGGUUCGAGCCCCGACGGGGG